rnacentral:rRNA from 1 species
GAUGAACGCUAGCGGCAGGCCUAAUACAUGCAAGUCGAACGGUGUAGCAAUACACAGUGGCGCACGGGUGCGUAACACGUAUGCAACCUACCUUACAUUGGGGGAUAGCCUUUCGAAAGGGAGAUUAAUACCGCAUAAGACAGUAACUGGGCAUCCAGUAGCUGUUAAAGAUUUAUCGAUGUAAGCUGGGCAUGCGUCCAAUUAGUUAGUUGGCGAGGUAAUGGCUCACCAAGACGAUGAUUGGUAGGGGAACUGAGAGGUCAAUCCCCCACACUGGCACUGAGAUACGGGCCAGACUCCUACGGGAGGCAGCAGUAGGGAAUAUUGGGCAAUGGGCGCAAGCCUGACCCAGCCAUGCCGCGUGCGGGAAGAAGGCGUUAUGCGUUGUAAACUGCUUUUAUACAGGAAGAAACGACCCUUGCGAGGGGCAUUGACGGUACUGUAUGGAUAAGCACCGGCUAACUCCGUGCCAGCCGCCGCCGUAAUAC